AUAGGAUACAAUAUAAAAAAUAUGAAAAAUUUUUAAUUUUUUUCUAAUAAAAAAAUUAAGAGCCAUAUCUUUACUCUCAUCUGAUACUAAAAUUACUUAAUAGUAAGUUAGUGCAACUACUCUCACUGCCACGAGAGAAGAAAAUUGCUUCGACCGCUCUCCCAGUCCUAGAGAGAGAGAUAGCUGCUUCAAUAUCACUUACCAUUAUAAGUUUUUUUCUUGACAAGAACUUGGAGGAAAGAGACGAGGGAGAAGGGAAAGUCAAGAGCAAAGCGUAAAUCAAGGUUGCUGCAACCGCAAGUGGUUGUCAACUUGAAAAUUCAGGUGCUUGUCUCGCCUGUUCAUAUGUGGGUUGGUGUUGGAUGCUCUUCUUCGGUUCCAUCACUACCUUAUGCUUUGGUGGGAACUGGGAGGAAUCAGUUGGAUUUGUGCUUUUGAAAUGAUUUAAAGUGAAAUCCUCUCAUCUGUAUUCAAUGUAAAUAUUUUUUGAUAAGUAUACUCUUGUGUAAAUAUUAUGCAACAUAUGUGUAAAUUCAUAUUCCCUUCUUCUUUUGUCAAGAAAAUUUGAAGAAUUUUGGUGCUUUUGUUUCAAUUAUAGUUAAAUCACGAACCCAUAUAGAAAUUUUCUACAUAUUCUAUUA